rnacentral:lncRNA from 1 species
UUUUUUUUUUUUUUUUUUUUUGUUAUUGUUGUUGUUCUUAUUGAGACAGGGUUUCUCUGUGUAGCCAUGGCUGUCCUGGAACUCACUCUGUAACCAGGCUGGCCUCGAACUCAGAGAUCUGCCUGACUCUGCCUCCCAAGUGCUGAGAUUAAAGGUGUGCACCACCACUGCCUGGCCAGACCUGUCUUCUUGAGAAGACCUUGCACACAGAGGGAUCUGUAGCUGGUCUUUUGCUACUUUGUGGGUUCUUCUUUUCCCUACCCUUUAUCCCUCUGUUUUUACCCUUGUUACUAGAUAAGGGAGAAAGGAGGAUAGAGGGGAGAGAGAGAGAUCCCUGAAUCUAAUUUUUUUCCUUUUAUUUGUUCUUUAAGCAUGACAACUAUCAAACCACAUCUAACCCCCCUGAACAAUCACCCACCACCAGAGCUGUAGCAGGGUAUACCCUCUAUACUCUCUGAAAAGUUCCUAGACUUCCAAACAUCACACAGUUGGCAGAAACUAUCUACAGCUGGUAAACCCAUGCCUCUGCUAGAGUAUGAGACAAAUCAGAGCUGCUUUGUCUGCUGCUUCGAAGCAGCCCCUUAUCCCCAUAUUGGGGAUUAAAAUGAAAACCCCUUCUUACAAUAUGUCUGUGUUUUUUUUUUUAAAGAAACCAAAAUUCCAAAAUUGCCACUGUAUUUCCCUCUUGUGUUUGAAGCCAUCAAUUGUCCUGUGUGCAGUAGUAAAUCACAGAGGCAUUUCCAGUGAAUUAAGUGCUCUUCAGGUCAGUGGCCAAGGUUUUCAGGAGCCCCUCCUGCUCAAGUCUAGUCUUUAUCCUGCAGUGGUAUGCAUUAAAUCUCCAAUGCCAAGUGAAGGUUUUUCAGCCUGCAUGUUACUCCUUGGCUAAAACAGCUCAUAUUGUUGCUGCAGGGACCCUGAGCCAGACCCUCAAGGCCAUUUCCCACACUAAGAAAUUACCUUAAAUAUCUCUUUUGGGUCUGCAUUUCUGAACCCAAUGGCAGCCUUUGCCUUAUUAAAUACAUAGCUCAUGAAGCCUAGGUGCUCAUUCUGUUUAAGAUUUAGGAAAAUCAUUGCCUUUUGAAAGUUUUUCCGGGGGCUAGAGAAAUGGCUGAGCAGUUAAGAGCACUGACUGCUCUUCCAAAGGCUUUGAGUUCAAAUCCCAGCAGCCACAUGGUAGCUCACAACCACCUGUAUUGAGAUCUGAUGCCUUCUGGUGUGUCUGAAGACAGCUACAGUGUACUUACAUAUAAAUAAAUAAAAUCUUU